GUGCUAUGGACAUGCAGUCGNNCGAAUGGAUUGAGAGCUUGCUCUCAAGAAGUUAGCGGCGGACGGGUGAGUAACACGUGGGUAACCUGCCCAUAAGACUGGGAUAACUCCGGGAAACCGGGGCUAAUACCGGAUAANAUUUUGAACUGCAUGGUUCGAAAUUGAAAGGCGGCUUCGGCUGUCACUUAUGGAUGGACCCGCGUCGCAUUAGCUAGUUGGUGAGGUAACGGCUCACCAAGGCAACGAUGCGUAGCCGACCUGAGAGGGUGAUCGGCCACACUGGGACUGAGACACGGCCCAGACUCCUACGGGAGGCAGCAGUAGGGAAUCUUCCGCAAUGGACGAAAGUCUGACGGAGCAACGCCGCGUGAGUGAUGAAGGCUUUCGGGUCGUAAAACUCUGUUGUUAGGGAAGAACAAGUGCUAGUUGAAUAAGCUGGCACCUUGACGGUACCUAACCAGAAAGCCACGGCUAACUACGUGCCAGCAGCCGCGGUAAUACGUAGGUGGCAAGCGUUAUCCGGAAUUAUUGGGCGUAAAGCGCGCGCAGGUGGUUUCUUAAGUCUGAUUGUGAAAGCCCACGGCUCAACCGUGGAGGGGUCAUUGGAACACUGGGGANGAACUUUGGAGUUGCCAGAAGACGGGAACAGGUGGACUUCCCCUUGUGUUAGCGGGUGAAAAUGCGUUAGAGGAUAUGGGAGGCAACCCCCGGUGGGCGAAGGCGACUUUUCUGGCUCUCGUA
rnacentral:rRNA from 1 species